UAGAAUCUCACACGCCGCCAGUUCAUGAUACAGGGCAUUAAGUACCUCCAGGAUGUGAGCCUUCCCUGUGAACAGAAAGAAGCCACAGAUGUGAGUUCUCCAAAAACCCAGAGUCAGCUGUUCUCCAACAAACCUCAUCGGUGCUUCUAAAGCUUUAUGGCACUCGGUGUCUUUGUAGACAGCGGUAACAGUUUCACGAGAGCCGUGUUAAUUUAAGUGGGUGUGCGCUGGUGUCUACUGUUGUGGUCAUGUACCGUGUUGAGGGUCGCUGCAGGAUUCCAACGUGCUCAGAAGAAUCUUUCCCAGAGACCUCCUGGAGACAUUCUGAAACGGGAGAGAGAACGUCUCAGAUUGCAGGAAGGAUUAUCACCAAAUGGUGGAGUUGUAUGCAGGACAGCCGGAACUUAAUGCUUACCAUGAGCACCUACAGGCUCAGGGCUGCCCGUGUGUCAACAGACAGCCUUGCGGUGCAGGUUCGAGCUUAACGGCGGGUGACAUUCUGAGCACAGUGCAUGAAUCGGAGGAGUGGCGGCGUGC